GAUGAACGCUAGCGGCAGGCCUAAUACAUGCAAGUCGAACGGUGUCUUCGGACAUAGUGGCGCACGGGUGCGUAACACGUAUGCAACCUACCUUACAUUGGGGGAUAGCCUUUCGAAAGGGAGAUUAAUACCGCAUAAGACAGUAGCUGGGCAUCCAACAGCUGUUAAAGAUUUAUCGAUGUAAGAUGGGCAUGCGUCCAAUUAGUUAGUUGGCGAGGUAACGGCUCACCAAGACUUUGAUUGGUAGGGGAACUGAGAGGUCAAUCCCCCACACUGGCACUGAGAUACGGGCCAGACUCCUACGGGAGGCAGCAGUAGGGAAUAUUGGGCAAUGGACGCAAGUCUGACCCAGCCAUGCCGCGUGCAGGAUGAAGGCGUUAUGCGUUGUAAACUGCUUUUAUACAGGAAGAAACGACUCUUGCGAGAGGCAUUGACGGUACUGUAUGAAUAAGCACCGGCUAACUCCAUGCCAGCCGCCGCGGUAACAC
rnacentral:rRNA from 1 species